UGGAUCCAGACUUUGAUCAUGGCUCAGGAUGAACGCUAGCUACAGGCUUAACACACGCAAGUCGAGGGGAAACGACAUCGAAAGCUUGCUUUUGAUGGGCGUCGACCGGCGCACGGGUGAGUAACGCGUAUCCAACCUGCCCACCACUUGGGGAUAACCUUGCGAAAGUAAGACUAAUACCCAAUGACGUCUCUAGAAGGCAUCAGAAAGAGAUUAAAGAUUUAUCGGUGAUGGAUGGGGAUGCGUCUGAUUAGCUUGUUGGCGGGGUAACGGCCCACCAAGGCUACGAUCAGUAGGGGUUCUGAGAGGAAGGUCCCCCACAUUGGAACUGAGACACGGUCCAAACUCCUACGGGAGGCAGCAGUGAGGAAUAUUGGUCAAUGGACGAGAGUCUGAACCAGCCAAGUAGCGUGCAGGAUGACGGCCCUAUGGGUUGUAAACUGCUUUUAUAAGGGAAUAAAGUGAGCCUCGUGAGGCUUUUUGCAUGUACCUUAUGAAUAAGGACCGGCUAAUUCCGUGCCAGCAGCCGCGGUAAUACGGAAGGUCCGGGCGUUAUCCGGAUUUAUUGGGUUUAAAGGGAGCGUAGGCCGGAGAUUAAGCGUGUUGUGAAAUGUAGAUGCUCAACAUCUGCACUGCAGCGCGAACUGGUUUCCUUGAGUACGCACAAAGUGGGCGGAAUUCGUGGUGUAGCGGUGAAAUGCUUAGAUAUCACGAAGAACUCCGAUUGCGAAGGCAGCUCACUGGAGCGCAACUGACGCUGAAGCUCGAAAGUGCGGGUAUCGAACAGGAUUAGAUACCCUGGUAGUCCGCACGGUAAACGAUGGAUGCCCGCUGUUGGUCUGAAUAGGUCAGCGGCCAAGCGAAAGCAUUAAGCAUCCCACCUGGGGAGUACGCCGGCAACGGUGCAACUCAAAUGAAUUGACGGA
rnacentral:rRNA from 1 species